rnacentral:rRNA from 1 species
UACGAAGGUGGCAAGCGUUAUUCGGAUUUACUGGGCGUACAGGGAGCGUAGGCGGUUGGGUAAGACCUCCGUGAAAUCUCCGGGCCCAACCCGGAAAGUGCGGAGUGGACUGCUCGGCUAGAGGAUGGGAGAGGAGCGCGGAAUUCCCGGUGUAGCGGUGAAAUGGGUAGAGAUCGGGAGGAAGGCCGGUGGCGAAGGCGGCGCUCUGGAACAUUUCUGACGCUGAGGCUCGAAAGCGUGUGGAGCAAACAGG